AAAAGGUGCAGUUUUAUUUUUUUUAUGUCUAAUGUUUGACCGUUCGUCUUGUUUGAAAGAAAAAUAUGAUUAGUAGUUUUGUUGUUAUUAGAUGAUAAAACAUAAAUACUAAUUUAUGUGUGACUAAUUUUUUGAAAGAAUUUCAUAAAAUUUUCAAAUAAGACGGACAGUCAAACGUUGGACACGAAAAUCUAUAGCUACACUUAAA
rfam:Oryza glaberrima chromosome 1 Oglab01_0035_9, whole genome shotgun sequence.